GAUGAACGCUAGCUACAGGCUUAACACAUGCAAGUCGAGGGGUAACGAGAGGGAAGCUUGCUUUCCUUGUCGACGACCGGCGCACGGGUGAGUAACGCGUAUCCAACCUGCCCCCAACUAGGGAAUAACCCUGCGAAAGUAAGACUAAUACCCUAUAAUUUCCUCAGAUGUCAUCUGACGAGGAAUAAAGAUUUAUCGGUUGUGGAUGGGGAUGCGUCUGAUUAGCUUGUUGGCGGGGUAACGGCCCACCAAGGCAACGAUCAGUAGGGGUUCUGAGAGGAAGGUCCCCCACAGUGGAACGGAGACACGGUCCAAACUCCUACGGGAGGCAGCAGUGAGGAAUAUUGGUCAACGGGCGGAAGCCUGAACCAGCCAAGUAGCGUGCAGAAUGACGGCCCUAUGGGUUGUAAACUGCUUUUAUACAGGAAUAAAGUUAGCCACGUGUGGUUAUUUGUAGGUACUGUAUGAAUAAGGACCGGCUAAUUCCGUGCCAGCCGCCGCCGUAA
rnacentral:rRNA from 1 species